AACGCCUGGCCUGGCCGGGGUGACCUUUGCAGUGACAGGCUCCCUGUCAGAGCUCCAGAUUAGCUAUGUCUGCCGGGAAGUGCUCCAGGUAAGGAGAGGCCUGGGGAUUCUGGGGAUGGGAGGGGAGGGGGGCCCCACUCCAGCCCCCAAACACUCACAGUCCCCUUGUCCACCCUUCUCCCCAGGGACUGGCCUAUCUGCACUCACAGAAGAAGAUACACAGGGACAUCAAGGGAGCUAACAUCCUCAUCAAUGAUGCUGGGGAGGUCAGACUGGCUGACUUUGGCAUCUCGGCCCAGAUCGGGGCUACGCUGGCCAGACGCCUCUCUUUCAUUGGGACACCCUACUGGAUGGCUCCGGAAGUGGCAGCUGUGGCCCUGAAGGGAGGAUACAACGAGCUGUGUGACAUCUGGUCCCUGGGCAUCACGGCCAUCGAACUGGCCGAGCUACAGCCACCGCUCUUUGAUGUGCACCCUCUCAGAGUUCUCUUCCUCAUGACCAAGAGUGGCUACCAGCCUCCCCGACUGAAGGAAAAAGGCAAAUGGUCGGCUGCCUUCCACAACUUCAUCAAAGUCACCCUGACUAAGA
rnacentral:sRNA from 1 species